rnacentral:rRNA from 1 species
ACGCUCGACACCUACGGGAGUCAGCAGUGGGGAAUAUUGCACAAUGGGGGAAACCCUGAUGCAGCGACGCCGCGUGGAGGAAGAAGGUCUUCGGAUUGUAAACUCCUGUUGUUGGGGAAAAAGAGGAUGGUACCCAACAAGGAAGUGACGGCUAACUACGUGCCAGCAGCCGACGGUAAUCUGAGGCGGGCUGGCGAAGGCNNA